GACGAACGCUGGCGGCGUGCUUAACACAUGCAAGUCGAACGGAAAGGCCCUGCUUUUGUGGGGUGCUCGAGUGGCGAACGGGUGAGUAACACGUGAGUAACCUGCCCUUGACUUUGGGAUAACUUCAGGAAACUGGGGCUAAUACCGGAUAGGAGCUCCUGCUUCAUGGUGGGGGUUGGAAAGUUUCGGCGGUUGGGGAUGGACUCGCGGCUUAUCAGCUUGUUUGUGGGGUAGUGGCUUACCAAGGCUUUGACGGGUAGCCGGCCUGAGAGGGUGACCGGCAAAAUGGGGACUGAGAUACGGCCCAGAGUCCAACGGGAGGCAGCAGUGGGGAAUAUUGCAAAAUGGGCGGAAGCCUGAUGCAGAAACGCCGCGUGCGGGAUGACGGCCUUCGGGUUGUAAACCGCUUUAGCAUGUGACGAAGCGUGAGUGACGGUAAUGGGUAAAGAAGCACCGGCUAACUACGUG
rnacentral:rRNA from 1 species